GGGUGCAAUCAUACCAACGUUAAUGCACCGGAUCUCAUCAUAAAUCUGGAGUUAAGCAUGCUUGGGCUAGAGUAGUACUGGGAUCGGUGAACUCCUGGGAAUUCCUUAUGUUGCACCCU
rfam:Picea glauca, whole genome shotgun sequence.